rnacentral:rRNA from 1 species
AUGAACGCUAGCGGCAGGCCUAAUACAUGCAAGUCGGACGGGAUUCAGGAGCUUGCUUCUGAUGAGAGUGGCGCACGGGUGCGUAACACGUAUGUAACCUACCUUUAUCAGGGGGAUAGCCUCUCGAAAGAGAGAUUAAGCCCGCAUAAAAUCACAGCACAGCAUUGUGUAAUGAUCAAAUAUUUAUAGGAUAAAGAUGGGCAUGCGGAACAUUAGCUAGAUGGCGGGGUAACGGCCCACCAUGGCGACGAUGUUUAGGGGAUCUGAGAGGAUGGCCCCCCACACUGGUACUGAGACACGGACCAGACUCCUACGGGAGGCAGCAGUAAGGAAUAGUGGUCAAUGGGCGGAAGCCUGAACCAGCCAUGCCGCGUGCAGGAAGACGGCCCUACGGGUUGUAAACUGCUUUUAUACGGGAAUAAACCCAGAUACGUGUAUCUGGCUGAAUGUACUGUAAGAAUAAGGAUCGGCUAACUCCGUG